UCUUUGAUGGUCUAACGGUCAUGAUUUCCGCUUGUCACUGCACAUCGCGGGAGACCGGGGUUCGACUCCCCGUCAGAGAG
rfam:Blumeria graminis f. sp. tritici 96224 unplaced genomic scaffold Scaffold-66, whole genome shotgun sequence.